CCUAGCCUUUUAAUUGGAGGCCUGCAUGAAUGGCUUGACGAGCGCCCUGCUGUCUCUCUUCCCAUGAACUUUUAAAUUAACUUUCGCGUGCAAAGGCGCGAAUGGCUGAGUUAGACGAAAAGACCCUAUGCAUCUUUACUGAGAGAGAAGAAAGUUCUUUAGCUUGGUUUAGCUGGGGCAGCUGAGGAAAAGGCAAAAUUUCCUUAAUAUAAGUCAUACUGGUGGGUUUAGAUCCAGGCUCUUUAGCGGGCUUGACAAGUAGAAAAGUUACGCUAGGGAUAACAGCGUUAUCCUUCUGUGGAGGUCUUAUCUGCAGGAGGGAUUGCGACCUCGAUGUUGAAUUAGGGAUAUACCAGAAAGGCGCAGAAGCUUUUAUUGUGGGUCU
rnacentral:rRNA from 1 species